rnacentral:tRNA from 1 species
GAUGAAAUGGUGUACAGCACAACGUCCUUUGGCGGCGCAGGGUGAACCUAAAUCU